rnacentral:rRNA from 1 species
CCUACGGGUGGCAGCAGUGAGGAAUAUUGGUCAAUGGGCGGGAGCCUGAACCAGCCAAGCCGCGUGAGGGAAGAAGGUACAGCGUAUCGUAAACCUCUUUUGUCAGGGAACAAAGGCGGGGACUAGUCCCCGGAUGAGGGUACCUGAAGAAAAAGCAUCGGCUAACUCCGUGCCAGCAGCCGCGGUAAUACGGAGGAUGAGAGCGUUAUCCGGAUUUAUUGGGGUUAAGGGGUGCGAAGUCGGCCUGUUAAGUCAGCGGGAAAAGCCCGGGGCUAAACCCCGGCGAGCCGUUGAAACUGGCGGGCUGGAGUUGGGGAGAGGUACGCGGAAUGCGCGGUGUAGCGGUGAAAUGCUUAGAUAUCGCGCAGAACCCCGAUGGCGAAGGCAGCGUACCGGCUCCACACUGACGCUGAGGCACGAAAGCGUGGGGAUCGAACAGGAUUAGAUACCCCAGUAGUC